rnacentral:rRNA from 1 species
UACGUAGGGGGCAAGCGUUGUCCGGAUUUAUUGGGCGUAAAGAGCGUGUAGGCGGCCAGGUAGGUCUGCUGUGAAAACUCGAGGCUUAACCUCGAGCUGUCGGCGGAAACCAUCUGGCUAGAGUCCGGAAGAGGAGAAUGGAAUUCCCGGUGUAGCGGUGAAAUGCGCAGAUAUCGGGAGGAACACCUAUGGCGAAGGCAGCUCGCUGGGACGUUACUGACGCUGAGACGCGAAAGCGUGGGGAGCGAACAGG